CAGUAGCCACGGUAAUACGAAGGGUGCAAGCGUUACUCGGAAUUACUGGGCGUAAAGCGUGCGUAGGUGGUGGUUUAAGUCCGUUGUGAAAGCCCUGGGCUCAACCUGGGAAUUGCAGUGGAUACUGGGUCACUAGAGUGUGGUAGAGGAUAGUGGAAUUUCCGGUGUAGCAGUGAAAUGCGUAGAGAUCGGAAGGAACAUCUGUGGCGAAGGCGACUAUCUGGGCCAACACUGACACUGAGGCACGAAAGCGUGGGGAGCAAACAGGAUUAGAUACCCGAGUAGUCCCUGUCUCUUAUAC
rnacentral:rRNA from 1 species